rnacentral:rRNA from 1 species
GCUUAACACAUGCAAGUCGAGGGGCAGCAUGGUCUUAGCUUGCUAAGGCCGAUGGCGACCGGCGCACGGGUGAGUAACACGUAUCCAACCUGCCGUCUACUCUUGGACAGCCUUCUGAAAGGAAGAUUAAUACAAGAUGGCAUCAUGAGUCCACAUGUUCACAUGAUUAAAGGUAUUCCGGUAGACGAUGGGGAUGCGUUCCAUUAGAUAGUAGGCGGGGUAACGGCCCACCUAGUCUUCGAUGGAUAGGGGUUCUGAGAGGAAGGUCCCCCACAUUGGAACUGAGACACGGUCCAAACUCCUACGGGAGGCAGCAGUGAGGAAUAUUGGUCAAUGGGCGAGAGCCUGAACCAGCCAAGUAGCGUGAAGGAUGACUGCCCUAUGGGUUGUAAACUUCUUUUAUAAAGGAAUAAAGUCGGGUAUGCAUACCCGUUUGCAUGUACUUUAUGAAUAAGGAUCGGCUAACUCCGUGCCAGCAGCCGCGGUAAUACGGAGGAUCCGAGCGUUAUCCGGAUUUAUUGGGUUUAAAGGGAGCGUAGAUGGAUGUUUAAGUCAGUUGUGAAAGUUUGCGGCUCAACCGUAAAAUUGCAGUUGAUACUGGAUAUCUUGAGUGCAGUUGAGGCAGGCGGAAUUCGUGGUGUAGCGGUGAAAUGCUUAGAUAUCACGAAGAACUCCGAUUGCGAAGGCAGCCUGCUAAGCUGCAACUGACAUUGAGGCUCGAAAGUGUGGGUAUCAAACAGGAUUAGAUACCCUGGUAGUCCACACGGUAAACGAUGAAUACUCGCUGUUUGCGAUAUACUGCAAGCGGCCAAGCGAAAGCGUUAAGUAUUCCACCUGGGGAGUACGCCGGCAACGGUGAAACUCAAAGGAAUUGACGGGGGCCCGCACAAGCGGAGGAACAUGUGGUUUAAUUCGAUGAUACGCGAGGAACCUUACCCGGGCUUAAAUUGCAGAUGAAUUACGGUGAAAGCCGUAAGCCGCAAGGCAUCUGUGAAGGUGCUGCAUGGUUGUCGUCAGCUCGUGCCGUGAGGUGUCGGCUUAAGUGCCAUAACGAGCGCAACCCUUGUUGUCAGUUACUAACAGGUUCUGCUGAGGACUCUGACAAGACUGCCAUCGUAAGAUGUGAGGAAGGUGGGGAUGACGUCAAAUCAGCACGGCCCUUACGUCCGGGGCUACACACGUGUUACAAUGGGGGGUACAGAGGGCCGCUACCACGCGAGUGGAUGCCAAUCCCAAAAACCUCUCUCAGUUCGGACUGGAGUCUGCAACCCGACUCCACGAAGCUGGAUUCGCUAGUAAUCGCGCAUCAGCCACGGCGCGGUGAAUACGUUCCCGGGCCUUGUACACACCGCCCGUCAAGCCAUGGGAGCCGGGGGUACCUGAAGUGCGUAACCGCGAGGAGCGCCCUAGGGUAAAACUGGUGACUGGGG